CGGACGGGUGAGUAAUGCUUGGGAAUCUGGCUUAUGGAGGGGGAUAACUACGGGAAACUGUAGCUAAUACCGCGUAAUAUCUUCGGAUUAAAGGGUGGGACUUUCGGGCCACCUGCCAUAAGAUGAGCCCAAGUGGGAUUAGGUAGUUGGUGGGGUAAAGGCCUACCAAGCCGACGAUCUCUAGCUGGUCUGAGAGGAUGACCAGCCACACUGGAACUGAGACACGGUCCAGACUCCUACGGGAGGCAGCAGUGGGGAAUAUUGCACAAUGGGGGGAACCCUGAUGCAGCCAUGCCGCGUGAAUGAAGAAGGCCUUCGGGUUGUAAAGUUCUUUCGGUGAUGAGGAAGGUGUUUGUUUUAAUAGAGCAAGCAAUUGACGUUAGUCACAGAAGAAGCACCGGCUAACUCCGUGCCAGCAGCCGCGGUAAUACGGAGGGUGCGAGCGUUAAUCGGAAUGACUGGGCGUAAAGGGCACGCAGGCGGUGACUUAAGUGAGAUGUGAAAGCCCCGAGCUUAACUUGGGAAUUGCAUUUCAUACUGGGUCGCUAGAGUACUUUAGGGAGGGGUAGAAUUCCACGUGUAGCGGUGAAAUGCGUAGAGAUGUGGAGGAAUACCGAAGGCGAAGGCAGCCCCUUGGGAAUGUACUGACGCUCAUGUGCGAAAGCGUGGGGAGCAAACAGGAUUAGAUACCCUGGUAGUCCACGCUGUAAACGCUGUCGAUUUGGGGAUUGGGCUUUAAGCUUGGUGCCCGUAGCUAACGUGAUAAAUCGACCGCCUGGGGAGUACGGC
rnacentral:rRNA from 1 species